UACGUAGGGUGCAAGCGUUAAUCGGAAUUACUGGGCGUAAAGCGUGCGCAGGCGGUUAUGUAAGACAGUUGUGAAAUCCCCGGGCUCAACCGUGGGACUGCAUCUGUGACUGCAUAGCGUAGAGUACGGGUAGAGGGGGGAUGGAAUUCCGCGUGUAGCAGUGAAAUGCGUAGAGAUGUGGAGGACACCGAUGCGAAGGCAGCCCCUGGGUUAACACUGACG
rnacentral:rRNA from 1 species